UGAAGCUUAUACUUUGAAGUUGCCAUCUUUGAUGGAAUUGAAUGUUAUAAGAUGUCCAGAUUUAAGAACAUUUGCUUCUAAGAUUGUCAACACACAUUCUAGAAUCCAAGUACACACAGAGUUGGGAUAGUCUGAGUGGAUGGGGGACCUCAAUAGCACUAUAGGGAACAUUCACGAAAAAAGGAGACCGAAUUCUAAUGAGAUAGUAGAGAUAUGAUGUUAACACAGAGAAGUGCAGAGCACAUUGAUGAGGAGGUUGAGUUCUGCUCUGAAGAAUUUUAUGAGGAUGUGCAUACAGAGUUAGUUCUUCAAGUUUGGAAUAGCAAGUUGCAAUUCUACA